rnacentral:rRNA from 1 species
UACGUAGGGUGCAAGCGUUGUCCGGAAUUAUUGGGCGUAAAGAGCUCGUAGGCGGUCUGUCGCGUCUGCUGUGAAAACUCAGGGCUUAACCCUGAGCUUGCAGUGGGUACGGGCAGACUAGAGUGCGGUAGGGGAGACUGGAAUUCCUGGUGAUAGCGGUGAAAUGACGCAGAUAUCAGGAGGAACACCGGUGGCGAAGGCGGGUCUCUGGGCCGUAACUGAACGCUGGA